AUAAGAUUUACCUUUGAAAACCGUCAUGUCAGUUCCCAGGCAAUAUGAAAGAGCGGAUACAUUUAGCUCAUCUAGCAAGGUGGUUCUGCAUCUUAUGUUAGUGAGUAAAUGUUCUGUGUAGUUGUGCCAGCAAGAAAAGCUAUGAUAAGUUUUGUCUCCUGUGGUGAUGACUCAUCCCCUUUGGUUGACAUGACAUAGGGGCAAAAAUAUGGUUCCAUUAUUUUGCUGUUUGCUUGCUUCACAGUUAUAGUAGGACUAAGUAUGAAAUUAUCUCCUAUAAGAAGAUGCCUAUUAAUUAUCUAGUUAUGUAAGACUAAGGCUAUGUCCUUACUCUCUCCAUGCAGAGGAGGCAAGAAUUUAGGUUUUCAAAAGGCCAAAUAAUUUAUGAUCCUAGGAUCAUUAUUUUCCUCCAAGAUUGAGGUUCCUAAGCACAUAAAUCACUUUUAAAAUGUUAUGCUAAGUUAUACUCUGGGCCUCUGAGAUAAGAAAGGUAAGACGCAUGGAAAAAAGUAUUUGGCAAAUGUAGUUUCAAUCACCUCAAGGAACCAAAAGGAAACAGUAAGAUGUUCUUCUAUGACUCAAAUGCAUUAACUACUAGGCCUUCUAGCAUUUGGAUAAUCUUUCUGCAACAAAACAGUGGUGGAUAGCUUGGUAGUAUCUCAAAUUUGAUGACAAGAAGGAGCUUACUAGUCACGCUUUGCAUCAUUAUCAUAUAUAUUACAUUCUGUAAUGACAUGCUGACAUGAAAAUAUAUGGAUUGGAGGCUUUAGCAGUGCAAUUAUGAUGAACUAUUGACAAAAACAAAUCAACCAAAUAAAAUGCACACCUAGAAUAAGGUGUAUAUGAGAGGAUACUGUAACUAAUGAAGGAUAAAAUGUUAAAAAUAUCUGUAUCAUAGGGUUUAUUUUGCUUUUAUAAAAUAAGCUGGUCCAGGGAGAGUGUGUGCCACAGAGUAUGUGCCCUCUGAAGAAGAAAUGGAAAUGCAACACUUGAAUAAUAAAUGUUGGUUUACUCAAGGACCUAGAGUGACAAAAAAGAUGAUGUGUCUUCAUAAAUUCAAAGAAUUAGCCUCUGAGUUCAUCUUUCAUUUCCCUGGAAACCAGAGCACUGUGGAUGAGUACUUGGCUCUGACCCAGAGCUGAAUCACAAGCAGUUUCGGCAUCUGUGAGAGAGUCCAAGAUCUCUCCCGAACUCAGCAGCACAAACUUAAUUCUGUUCUAUCCUUCACAAGCCACUUCUGACCGGAUUGCUCUCAUGUAGCACAGGCACUGAAGUGAUGUCUAAAUUAGAGCCUACAUUACUCCUCUGUCUGUCAAAGUGAAUGCAAGGAGAAAGAAAAGCCAGGAGGGAUAGUUUCAAACAGAUGAGCAGUCAUGCCUAUGUGUCUGUGUUUAAAACAGUGGGCUCCUGAUUUCACCUGUGCUCUGCCUUCAUGUAGAGAGGAGAUGUAGGUUUGUACUUCCCUUUGUGAUGGCAGGGCACUUGCUUAAGGACUAGCAAAGGAAAAGGCAACAGGGACAGGAGUUUCUGGAUAUACAGUGGCCCUGCACACUGCUGCUCCUAAGUGCAGUGCAUUGUACUUCCUCAGUGAAAAAGAGAAACCUCUCUAACAAAGCAUUUUAACAGGGCCUAAACAGCCACAUGUGUGAAAAAAAUAUGUUUGCAUUUUACUUUCCUCACCUGCAAAAUCAAACUGCUCUAUUUAUUCAUAAUAUAUUUAUGAAGUAAUUAAAAUUUUCAAAAAAAACCCUCUACUGUUCAUUCACAUAUUAACUGGAACUCAGUAUAGCUACCAAACAUAUAAAUAGUGCUCUGUACUUACGGUCUUGUCAGUGAUGAGCCAAUAAAUACACUGUUUACCUGCA
ensembl:lncRNA